rnacentral:misc_RNA from 1 species
UCUCCGUUGGUGAACCAGCGGAGGGAUCAUUACUGAGUUACCGCUCUACAACCCUUUGUGAACAUACCUAACUGUUGCUUCGGCGGGCAGAGGUCCCUCGCGGAUCUCUCCCGGCAACGCCCUCACGGGCGGAGCGCCCGCCGGGGGAUACCAAACUCUAUUUUAACGACGUUUCUUCUGAGUGGCACAAGCAAAUAAUUAAAACUUUUAACAACGGAUCUCUUGGUUCUG